rnacentral:lncRNA from 1 species
UGUAUUUUUUACUUCUAUAAUCUCUUUAUUUAGUUUUUGUUUGGAGGAUCAAUCUGGUGGUGACAGAGGCAUUUUAAAGUUACCCACUAUUAUUAUGCUGUGGUCUAUUUGAUUCUUAAAAUUGAGAAGGGGUUGUUUGAUGUAUGUUUAUGCUCCAUUGUUUGGGGCAAAAAUAUUUGCAAUUGUUAUGUCUUCUUGAUGUAUAAUUCCCUUAAGCAGAAUGAAAUGGCCUUCUUUGUCCCUUCUGUUUAAUGUUGGCUUAAAGUCCACUUUAUCUGAGAAUAGAAACCCAUGCUUGUUUAUAUGAUCCAUGUGAAUGAUUUGUUUUUUCUCAUCCUUUUACCUUUAGUCUGUGGAUGUCUUUGCUUAUGAGGUAAGUCUCUUAGACAGCAUAUUCUUGGGUCUUGUUCUUUAAUCCAAUCUGCCAGUCUGUGUCUUUUGAUUGAUGAGUUCAGACUACUAAAUGUUCAAGAUUAUUAUUGAGAUAUAAUUUGUACUCCUGGUCAUUUUGGUUUAUUUCUAGUUUUUAAUUUGAUUUAAGUUUAUCCUUUGAUUGACUAUUCCUUUAAUGUAGUUCCUCCCUUUGCUGUUUUUCACUUUUAUUUUCAUUUCAUCUUCAUGGAAUAUUUUGAGAAUGUUCUGCAGUGUAGGCUUUCUACUUUAGCAAAUUUUUAAAAUUUGUUUAUCAGAGAAGGAUUUUAUUUCAUCUUCAAAUCUGAAACUUAAUUUUGCUGGAUAUAGGAUUCUUGGUUGCCAUUCAUUUUCUUUCAGAGGUUGGUAUAUGUUAUUCCAGGACCUCCUAGCUUUGAGGGUCUGGGUUGAGAAAUUAUCUGAGAUCCAAAUUGGUUUUUACCCUAUAUAUAAUCUGAUAUUUUUCUCUCAUAGCCUGUAAAAUUCUAUCCUUAUUCUGUAUGUUAGGCAUUUUCAUUUUAAUGUGCCUUGGUAUGGGUCUGUUGUAAUUGUGUCCAUUUGAGUUCCUGUAAACCUCUA